rnacentral:rRNA from 1 species
UACGGAGGGGGCUAGCGUUGUUCGGAAUUACUGGGCGUAAAGCGCACGUAGGCGGUCUGUUAAGUCGGGGGUGAAAUCCUGGGGCUCAACCUCAGAAUUGCCUCCGAUACUGGCAGUCUCGAGUGCGGGAGAGGUGAGUGGAAUUCCCAGUGUAGAGGUGAAAUUCGUAGAUAUUGGGAAGAACACCAGUGGCGAAGGCGGCUCACUGGCCCGUAACUGACGCUGAGGUGCGAAAGCGUGGGGAGCAAACAGG